UCUAGCAAGUUGCUUAUUUCGUCAGAAUAUUCCCAAUUUCUGCAGUUGUUUUGUACACUCUUCAUGAUCUAUCGCAUCUGGCGGCCAGAUUGUUCGAGGAUCAUUCGUCUUGAAUGCUGCUGUGAAGUUUUGAUCUUGCGAUGACCUUGUGUUGUGUUACCCUGUGGCCUGAGUAACCGUGUCGGGAUGGAAGUGUCGCCCGACUGUUACCACGUGCUUAAAUGACUAGUCAGCAUUUGGUCAGCAUCGUUGCCGAUCAAUAUAGUGGCAAACUGGCACAGUAAACCGUGCAACCAUAUUCCACGAGCGGCAGGAUAUCAGUUGCCAAUUCAUUAAUACCCUGUUGAUGCAGAGAUAUACACCAAACACCAGCGAAACUGUCAUACGCAUCCGCAUUUUGUUGACGACCGCCCAGCCGCAUAAUUAAACGCUGUCCCCAA